UCGAUUGAGUUUGAUCAUGGCUCAGGACGAACGCUGGCGGCGUGCUUAACACAUGCAAGUCGAGCGACGCGCCUUUCGGGGUGACGGAGCGGCGAACGGGUGAGUAACACGUGGGCAACCUGCCCUCAGCUCUGGGACAACUCCGGGAAACCGGGGCUAAUACCGAAUAUGACCUCUGCCCGCAUGGGUGGUGGUGGAAAGUUUUUCGGCUGAGGAUGGGCCCGCGGCCUAUCAGCUUGUUGGUGGGGUCAAGGCCUACCAAGGCGACGACGGGUAGCCGGCCUGAGAGGGCGACCGGCCACACUGGGACUGAGACACGGCCCAGACUCCUACGGGAGGCAGCAGUGGGGAAUAUUGCGCAAUGGGCGAAAGCCUGACGCAGCGAUGCCGCGUGAGGGAUGAAGGCCUUCGGGUUGUAAACCUCUUUCAGCAGGGACGAAGAUGACGGUACCUGCAGAAGAAGCACCGGCCAACUACGUGCCAGCAGCCGCGGUAAUACGUAGGGUGCAAGCGUUGUCCGGAAUUAUUGGGCGUAAAGAGCUCGUAGGCGGUCUGUCGCGUCGGCUGUGAAAACUUGGGGCUCAACCCCAAGCCUGCAGUCGAUACGGGCAGACUAGAGUGCGGUAGGGGAGACUGGAAUUCCUGGUGUAGCGGUGAAAUGCGCAGAUAUCAGGAGGAACACCGGUGGCGAAGGCGGGUCUCUGGGCCGUA
rnacentral:rRNA from 1 species